rnacentral:rRNA from 1 species
UACGAAGGGUGCUAGCGUUGUUCGGAUUUACUGGGCGUAAAGCGCACGUAGGCGGAUCGUUAAGUCGGGGGUGAAAUCCUGGAGCUCAACUCCAGAACUGCCUUCGAUACUGGCGAUCUCGAGUCCGGAAGAGGUGAGUGGAACUCCUAGUGUAGAGGUGGAAUUCGUAGAUAUUAGGAAGAACACCAGUGGCGAAGGCGACUCACUGGUCCGGUACUGACGCUGAGGUGCGAAAGCGUGGGGAGCAAACAGG